UAGGGAAUCUUCGGCAAUGGGGGGAACCCUGACCGAGCAACGCCGCGUGAGUGAAGAAGGUUUUCGGAUCGUAAAGCUCUGUUGUUAAGGAAGAACGAGUGUGAGAAUGGAAAGUUCAUGCUGUGACGGUACUUAACCAGAAAGGGACGGCUAACUACGUGCCAGCAGCCGCGGUAAUACGUAGGUCCCGAGCGUUGUCCGGAUUUAUUGGGCGUAAAGCGAGCGCAGGCGGUUAGAAAAGUCUGAAGUGAAAGGCAGUGGCUCAACCAUUGUAGGCUUUGGAAACUGUUUAACUUGAGUGCAGAAGGGGAGAGUGGAAUUCCAUGUGUAGCGGUGAAAUGCGUAGAUAUAUGGAGGAACACCAGUGGCGAAGGCGGCUCUCUGGUCUGUAACUGACGCUGAGGCUCGAAAGCGUGGGGAGCGAACAGG
rnacentral:rRNA from 1 species